rnacentral:rRNA from 1 species
UCAUCUUCGGGGGUAGAGCACUGUUUCGGCUAGGGGGUCAUCCCGACUUACCAACCCGAUGCAAACUACGAAUACCGAAGAAUGUUAUCACGGGAGACACACGGCGGGUGCUAACGUCCGUCGUGAAGAGGGAAACAACCCAGACCGCCAGCUAAGGUCCCAAAGUCAUGGUUAAGUGGGAAACGAUGUGGGAAGGCACAGACAGCCAGGAUGUUGGCUUAGAAGCAGCCAUCAUUUAAAGAAAGCGUAAUAGCUCACUGGUCGAGUCGGCCUGCGCGGAAGAUGUAACGGGGCUAAACCAUGCACCGAAGCUGCGGCAGCGACACUAUGUGUUGUUGGGUAGGGGAGCGUUCUGUAAGCCUGCGAAGGUGACCUGUGAGGGUUGCUGGAGGUAUCAGAAGUGCGAAUGCUGACAUAAGUAACGAUAAAGCGGGUGAAAAGCCCGCUCGCCGGAAGACCAAGGGUUCCUGUCCAACGUUAAUCGGGGCAGGGUGAGUCGACCCCUAAGGCGAGGCCGAAAGGCGUAGUCGAUGGGAAACAGGUUAAUAUUCCUGUACUUGGUGUUACUGCGAAGGGGGGACGGAGAAGGCUAUGUUAGCCGGGCGACGGUUGUCCCGGUUUAAGCAUGUAGGCUGGUUGUCCAGGCAAAUCCGGAUAAUCAAGGCUGAGGUGUGAUGACGAGGCACUACGGUGCUGAAGUAACAAAUGCCCUGCUUCCAGGAAAAGCCUCUAAGCAUCAGGUAACAUCAAAUCGUACCCCAAACCGACACAGGUGGUCAGGUAGAGAAUACCAAGGCGCUUGAGAGAACUCGGGUGAAGGAACUAGGCAAAAUGGUGCCGUAACUUCGGGAGAAGGCACGCUGGUGUGUAGGUGAAGUCCCUGCGGAUGGAGCUGAGACCAGUCGAAGAUACCAGCUGGCUGCAACUGUUUAUUAAAAACACAGCACUGUGCAAACACGAAAGUGGACGUAUACGGUGUGACGCCUGCCCGGUGCCGGAAGGUUAAUUGAUGGGGUUAUCCGUAAGGAGAAGCUCUUGAUCGAAGCCCCGGUAAACGGCGGCCGUAACUAUAACGGUCCUAAGGUAGCGAAAUUCCUUGUCGGGUAAGUUCCGACCUGCACGAAUGGCGUAAUGAUGGCCAGGCUGUCUCCACCCGAGACUCAGUGAAAUUGAACUCGCUGUGAAGAUGCAGUGUACCCGCGGCAAGACGGAAAGACCCCGUGAACCUUUACUAUAGCUUGACACUGAACAUUGAGCCUUGAUGUGUAGGAUAGGUGGGAGGCUUUGAAGCGUGGACGCCAGUCUGCGUGGAGCCAACCUUGAAAUACCACCCUUUAAUGUUUGAUGUUCUAACGUUGGCCCCUGACCGGGGUUGCGGACAGUGUCUGGUGGGUAGUUUGACUGGGGCGGUCUCCUCCCAAAGCGUAACGGAGGAGCACGAAGGUUAGCUAAUCCUGGUCGGACAUCAGGAGGUUAGUGCAAUGGCAUAAGCUA